GCUUCUGCAGCUCGUUAGUUUGAGGUUUGCUGAUAACGAUUACAACAUCGACUUUGACGACUACCUCACCUGCAUCGUCCGUCUGGAGAACAUGUUCAGAACUUUCCAGGCUUUGGACAAAUCUAACACAGGACGGGUCAACAUGAACAUCAUGCAGUUCCUCAUGCUGUCCAUGAAUGUCUGAGGAGGAGCAGAAGGCUGACAGUGAUGGCAGAGGAGCAAAGGAGCAGAGUGCAGAGUGGUUUAACCUUUUUUACAGAUUUAAAACAUCGUCAUCUAGCCAGCUUGUCAUUAUUUUAAUGAGUAAAAGGACAACUUUCUAUACCUUUGUGUUUACAUGUGGAGGGGUAAAUUUUGAAUUUUGACGUCUUGAGCUUUUGAACAACAUGUUGGUUUUUCUCUACUCACUACGUGAAUGGAAAUGAAAUUUGAAUAAAAACUGUAACAAUUAUGAA